GGCGGCAUGCCUAAGACAUGCAAGUCGUACGAAGCGGCCCAAUGAAGAUGGAGUGCUUGCACAAAGUUGGAUUUGGAUUUCCGCUUAGUGGCAAACGGGUGAGUAACACGUGGUUACCUACCUCUAAGUUGGGGAUACCAGUUGGAAACGACUGUUAAUACCGAAUGUGCUCUACGGAGUAAAGAAGCCCUUAAAGCUUCGCUUAGAGAUGGGCCUGCGGCGCAUUAGCUAGUUGGUGAGGUAACGGCUCACCAAGGCGACGAUGCGUAGCCGAACUGAGAGGUUGAUCGGCCACAUUGGGACUGAGACACGGCCCAGACUCCUACGGGAGACAGCAGUUAGGAAUAUUCGUCAAUGGGGGCAACCCUGAACGAGCAAUGCCGCGUGAACGAUGACGGUCCUCUGGAUUGUAAAGUUCUGUUGUUUAGGAAAAAUUGUAUAAGUAGGAAAUGACUUAUACUUGAUGGUACUAUUCAAGAAAGCCACGGCUAACUACGUG
rnacentral:rRNA from 1 species